AUUAAUGGGUUUAGAACCUUUGUUUAGGUUAGAUUGGAAGGACUCUAACUCCCAUUUGGAGAUCGAGAGAGCUUCCUUCGCAACCGGUGAGUUUUCCCUAACCCUAGCUUGAGUUGGUUAAUGAUUGAACUUAGCGUCAUUCGUUUCGACUAGAUGACACUUGUUUUCAUACCUUUAGGAUACUAGGAGUGUGGUGGACGCCUUCGUCGUGGCAAACGAAAGCUUUCGUUGACGACGGUGGGUUUGGCUUCGUGGAAAUUGGGCGAAAUGGCCUCUAUGCUCUUUCUAGUUGUUGUAAAAUAUUUUUAAAUUCAUUUCUAUGCUAAAUGGAAUUUAUAUGAAUUUUAGAGCACUUAAAAUGCAUGCCUUGUGUAUUUUGAAAAUUUCACUAUAUAGUAGAGCUAUAUGAGUAGAAUGCAUGCAUAUGGGAAA
rnacentral:lncRNA from 1 species